UUUGGUAGAGGUCGCAUCCGGCAAUCAGUAUUAUUCGGAUAAUAAGCCCUGACAAGGCGAUGCCGUAUAAGAAAGGUGCCGAUGCCGAGGACAGUCAUGUCAAAAACUGCAUCCGGCGCGGUGAAAUAAGAUUUAUCGCGUUGUCGCACCAUAAGGUGCGGAGAGCUAUCGGU
rnacentral:ncRNA from 1 species